rnacentral:rRNA from 1 species
AUCACCCUGAAGUGCCCAACCUCGUCUGAUCUCGGAAGCUAAGCAGGAUCGGGCCUGGUUAGUACUUGGAUGGGAGGCCUCCAUUUAAUCCUUAAU